AUACGUAGGGUGCGAGCGUUGUCCGGAAUUACUGGGCGUAAAGAGCUCGUAGGUGGUUUGUCGCGUCGUCUGUGAAAUUCCGGGGCUUAACUCCGGGCGUGCAGGCGAUACGGGCAUAACUUGAGUACUGUAGGGGAGACUGGAAUUCCUGGUGUAGCGGUGAAAUGCGCAGAUAUCAGGAGGAACGCCGGUGGCGAAGGCGGGUCUCUGGGCAGUAACUGACGCGGAGGGGCGAAAGCGUGGUUAGCGAAGAGAAUUAGAUACCCUGGUCGUCCAUGCCGUAAACGGUGGGCGCUAGGUGUAGGGGUCUUCCACGACUUCUGUGCCGUACCUAACGCAUUAAGCGCCCCGCCUGCGGAGUACGGCCGCAAGGCUAAAACUCAAAGGAAUUGACGGGG
rnacentral:rRNA from 1 species